UCCGACAAGGGCAAAACCAGGGCAAUCUGGUGACGCAAAGCCACGGGUCCUUCAGGGACAGCCGGGUUGCCGAAG
rfam:Desulfuromonas soudanensis strain WTL chromosome, complete genome.